rnacentral:hammerhead_ribozyme from 1 species
AUGCUGCUGACGAGUCCUAAAUAGGACGAAAUGCGCAUAAUUCUGGAU